rnacentral:rRNA from 1 species
UACAGAGGGUGCGAGCGUUAAUCGGAAUUACUGGGCGUAAAGCGCGCGUAGGCGGCUUUGCAAGUCGGGUGUGAAAUCCCCAGGCUCAACCUGGGAACUGCAUUCGAGACUGCAUUGCUAGAGUAUGGGAGAGGGAAGUGGAAUUUCAGGUGUAGCGGUGAAAUGCGUAGAUAUCUGAAGGAACAUCAGUGGCGAAAGCGACUUCCUGGACCAAUACUGACGCUCAUGCACGAAAGCGUGGGGAGCAAACAGG